AGAAAGAACGCUGGCGGCAUGCCUAACACAUGCAAGUUGAACGGAUAAAAUUUCUAGCUUGCUAGAGAUUUUAUUAGUGGCAGACGGGUGAGUAACACGUAGGAAUCUGCCCUGUAGUACGGAACAACAAUUGGAAACGAUUGCUAAUACCGUAUACGCUCGAAAGAGGAAAGAUUAAUCGCUAUAGGAUGAGCCUGCGGUAGAUUAGGUAGUUGGUGGGGUAAUGGCCUACCAAGCCUAUGAUCUAUAGCUGGUCUGAGAGGACGAUCAGCCACACUGGAACUGAGAUACGGUCCAGACUCCUACGGGAGGCAGCAGUGGGGAAUAUUGGACAAUGGGCGCAAGCCUGAUCCAGCAAUGUCGCGUGAAUGAUGAAGGCCUUAGGGUUGUAAAGUUCUUUCGGUCGGGGAAGAAAUUGACGGUACCCGCAGAAGAAGCUCCGGCUAACUCCGUGCCAGCAGCCGCGGUAA
rnacentral:rRNA from 1 species